CCAGUUGAACAUAACAAAGCAGGUUAAAGAAGUUCAAUUGUAGUUUGUUGAUAGCAAUACCUGGUUAUUCUAGCUUUUGAAUAUCUCCUGUAUUCGACCUAUUUUUGGAUCCGUUUAUAUGGCUUCACAACUAAUGUUUGUUGUUAUUUUUAUCUCUUUUUGUUCAUAUGAUUUUUACAAGAAAAAAUACUAUAAUGAGCAAGUUUACUCAAUUACCAGGAUAGCUACAUCUUUGAGGAUUCAGCAAUUGAAUCGGAUGGAGAAAGAGCUAGAGGCAUCCAAAUAUAAGGCGGAGAAUGAUCUUCAGGUCUUGGUUGAAGAACAAACAAAAUUUAAUACAAGUACAUCACAUUCUAGUCAAGAUCUUAUUCGAAUGAACAUGGUAGAUGCGUCAAUUACCAAAACCAAGAAGGAUCUUCAAGACUUGGCUAAGGAACAAGAAAUAGUCCAGAUGAAGGCGUCUUUGAUGACUCAGGAACUGCGUCUGGAGGAGUUAGAGGGAUCAAAAACUGAACUCGAGAAGGCUCUACAAACGUGUGUGGAGAAACAAAAAUAUCUAGAGAUGAAGGCAUAUUUGUUGUCUUUAAGGGAGAAAGCUGUGACGAAAAGGGAAUAUGAGGCUAAAAAGAGAGAGCGGAAGAGCUUGUGUUGCAGGGGAAACUUGUGAACAAGAAAUCUGAGGCAGACCUUUAAUACAGAGAAGAGCUGAUGUUGGAAAAGGAACAUGAGAAUGAACCAAUUCAGAGCAUAAAAUCAGUCACAAGGGAGUGGGAAGUGCUAAAAAAUUAAUAGAGGAUUCAAGGUGCAGAUACUCCAGAAGCCAAGGAAAUCAAGGCAUGCUGAUAGAGAACAAGUUCUUGGGCAGAUUAAGCACCUCAUUGGAGGAUAAUGCUGUUGGAUUUAUUGCGUUUUUCUGGUGAAGGAUCGGGGAUCAUCUUGACUCCUUUUACAUGCCUUAAAAAGUCUGCUAUCGCUUUACUGGAGCAGGGUAACAAGAAAAUAAGUAUGAUGUCUGCACAACUUCAUGCACAAAUUGAUGAACAUGCAGUCACCUCAACAAACCUAACUCCGGUGUAUGGUACUGAGACAAGUACUCCAAAGUACUUAAUUAGUUCUAUAUUCCCCCGUCGAAGUCUACUUUUUUCAUGUUGUUGGUAUAGUUUUGAGUCAUGAUUCUUCUGAGUUCUAACGUAAUUUAUUCAUUUUUAGAAAAGUGGCUUAUGUGAUUUGUCGGCAUCGUUCCAAUAUAAUCUAAUAGGAUGUGUACACGACUCGAUGUGCAACCAGAUGAUGAGCCUGGAGUGGUCAUGCUCAUGACAGUGAACUUAAGUGCAGAAUAUGCUGAUCAGACAAGUACCUCACGGUAAUUCUAUAUAUGUAGUUAUAAAUAAAAAGAAGCAUCGAGGACGAGCGGUGGAGGUACUUGCUCCCCGUGACACUCUAUUGUUUAGUACUCCCUUUGUCUAUGUUUGAAUUUUUGACAGGUAUAUUGAGAUAUAAAUUUCAUAAAGAAUACUAAUAUUUAUAUGUGAUUUUUAAAACAGCUUAAAAUACGUGUAAAAAAAUCAAAAACAGUUAAAAUCAAACACAGAAAGUUUCUUUUACCAUACAAUUUUUCUUAAUUACGACAAUGCCCAGGGGUUGAAGUAUGAACAUGUUUUAGAGUUGAUUUAGGUUCUAUUCAUGCCUAUAUGCUUAUGAGUUAUGAGUCCCUUGACUAGAGUGAUGACAUUGGAUAUUUGGAUUAGUGGGGAGCGAUGUUUAUUUAUAAUCUCAUGUGAGCUGGACCGGCUUUUGCUCCACAUGCUAGCAACCUACUUGGAGUUUGUUCAAACAAACCCUAUUUCAGUUUUAGGUUAAACAAUUUGCAUAUAUA